UAUUUCAGCGUCUCAGGAUCCUCGUUGGACGGACUGCUUCUUCGAUGUUGAACAGCGUCUCCGUCUCCAUCUCCGAGGACGACGGCGAUGUCGUGGGGAGGACGCGAGUUCGCCCUCGCCAUAGGCGCAAGAAGACGUGGCCUGGAGGGCGGCGCGAGAUCCUCCCUCGGGCGGCGAGGGCCGCGAUUCGAUGGUGGCCGGUGUUGUUGUUCAUCCCAGUCAUUAUUCUUCUCUUCGAGAUCUCGAGAGUGGGGAGGAAGCUUCCCGACGAUGACCGACCCAAUCUGAGCGCUUCCUCCAAGGAGGAGGAGUCGCCGCGGAACCUAAAUCGACUCGAUCGGAUGACCAGAGUCGUUCACGGCGUUAGAGAGCCCUGCCUUAAAAUCCUUAAUGCAGAGCAGAUAGAAAAAUUAGAGUUUCCAGCAUCUGCAGAAGCUGAUUUCCCUGCCAAGAGUGUGCUAUACAAAGUAGAGACUGGUGAACACCAUGUUGAAGGCAAUGGUACAUUUCUGCCGAAAACAGAAACUACAAGGUUUAAUUUGUUUACUGGAUAUCCAACACUUGGUGAAAGAGAACAAAGUUUCAAGGUUAAUGAAACUGCUGCUGUGCAUUGUGGGUUUUACAGUGAAAGAGGAGGAUUUAAAAUUCCUGAUGCUGACAAAGAUUAUCUGAAAACCUGCAAAGUGGCAGUUUCAACAUGUGCAUUUGGUGGAGGGGAUGAUCUGUACCAACCUAUUGGAAUGACAUAUGCAUCACUAAAUAAGGUUUGCUAUGUGGCAUUCUGGGAUGAAGUUACUCUUUCAUCCCAGAAAAAGAAUGGGAAAGUAAUUGGUGAAGACCAAUUCAUUGGGAAAUGGCGCAUUGUGGUUGUCAAGGAUCUUCCUUUUUCAGAUCAACGAUUGAAUGGGAAAAUACCCAAGAUGUUGAGCCAUCGACUUUUCCCUAACGCAAGGUUUUCAAUUUGGGUCGACUCAAAGUCUCAGUUUCGAAGGGAUCCAAUUGGUGUACUUGAAGCUCUACUUUGGCGUACUAAUUCUGUGCUUGCCAUUUCUGAGCAUGGAGCUCGGAGCAGCCUCUAUGACGAAGCAAAGGCUGUUAUUAAGAAACACAAAGCCACACCAGAAGAAGUCGAAAUUCAACUACAUCAGUAUAGACAAGAUGGUAUUCCCGACGAGAAGAGGCUGAAUGGAAAGAAAGCUCUAGCUGAAGCAUCUGUGAUAGUGAGGGAGCACACUCCAUCGACAAAUAUUUUCAUGUGUCUCUGGUUCAAUGAGGUCGUUCGAUUCACUUCAAGAGAUCAACUGAGCUUCCCAUAUGUUCUCCGACGUCUAAAGAUCCCUCGAGUAAAUAUGUUUCCUGUAUGCACCAGAAAAGAUCUCGUGAACAGUAUGGGGCAUACCCGCAAGGCAUCAAGGGAAUGGAUCCGAGGUUGACCAAACCAGAUUGAACACGAAUCCAAGCUUAAAUGAAGAGAUCAAGCUCUGGAGUAAUCUGGAUCGUCCAUUCAAGAUUAAGAGAGAUCUAAGCCAUCCAUUGAAGAUUUGGUCCAUCCGAGCUAGGAGAGAGUAGAUCAGGUCCCUUGAUGAAGAUUUGAACCUUUGGAUCAAAUUUAGAUCAAGAUUCACCGUUGGAUCAGAGGCAGAAUAAUCACAGCCGUCCAUCACAGAACUGAGAUUAGAUUUAAAGGGAUGAGAAGCUACAGUGUUGGCGUCAACUUCUACAGUGUGAGCGUGAAGAGCAAUCACGAGGGGUGAGUCUCCGACGAUCUUCUUCGACCCAUUCCACCACCGGCGAGCUUGUGAGGUCAAGGGCAUCCCUUCCUCCGGUCAUCAUCUACUCGUCAUCAGCCGGCGAUGCCACUUCAACCACCUAAUCCAGAUUUGAUUUCCGUUUCCCCGCGAUUCUGAGAAGAAGAAGAAACUGGGAAAGAGAGUAAUCUGGAGGUUCGAUUCCGAUUUCUUCUCUUACCAGCCGGCGAUUGUUUACCUUCAAGAUCUGAAUGCUCUAAUCGGUUAGAAGUGUUUGCUUCUACUUCCAUUGGUUUCUCUAUUGCUGUGUAUGAUCUUUGUAUUUCUUGUUCUUGCUGUGACACUGAAUCGAUCGUCUGAAUUGAUCGGUUCUUCACUGAUUUGUGAGUGCUUGGGGGUUCCUCCAACUCACUUUGGUUCAUCACUUUCCCCAAUCUCCAUUACUGGGUUGUGUUUUGCUCUAUUUCUAGUUCAAGUUUAUGAUUUGUGCCGUUUAAUUUUGUAGAUUUACAUUGCUUGAGUUAGCUGAAUUCUUAGAUCUGUUUCUUUCCUUUGAUUCUGUUGUAUGCUUGUUGAAUUUCUGCGUCUAGAUUUGAAGUGUUUGGUAAGUUGUUCUUGAAUCGAUUACAUCUACUGUUCAUCCGAAUUCAAGUUCUUGUUUCAGUAAUUGACUGAAUCUGAUUAGGUUUUGUUCUUGUUUAGUAUUGUUGGUUUCUUAUCUACUCAGUUGCAUGAAUCUAAAUAGGUCUUCUAUCAUCUGACAAAUGGUGGUUUGAUCCAUUGAAUUGAUCUUUUGUUCUUGUCUUGUUCUUAUUUUACUCUUGUUUAGUUUCUAAUUUGUUUAGAUCUGUUAAUGAUGAAAUUCAUAGCAUAAUGUGACAAUAUGUUAUGGGUUCAUGAUUAAUAGAUAGAUAGAUAGGAUUUCUUCCAUUGCGUUAGAUUUAGUUUCAUACUUGUCUUGCUAUUUCAUUCUUUAAUCCAAGAAGUCAAUAAAACCCAAAAACUCCAAGAGAAAUAACAAUUCAAUCCUAAAAAUAUUAAGCAUUGGCUACAUUCGUUGGGAGACGACCCGAGUUAUCUCUAUGCUACAUUAGUGUAGAAUGGAUUCGGACACUUAAUUCUUUUGAUACCCAUUUCACGACAAAAUCGGGUUUAUCAAAAUUGGCGUCGUUGCCGGGGAAUGUAGCGGUGUUUGAUACCUUAGGAUUGUUUCUUUUCCUUUUUACAUAAAAAUGUGAAAAAAAUUUUGUUUCAAUUGCUUUCAUGUUCAUAUAUCCAUGUGUUUGAUCUUAUAUGCUCCUGUAUCUUCUGAUCUUAUCUGCUAGUGUUUCAGUAUAAGAACAGGAAUUUCUUUGGCCAUGGAUCCAUAUUGUCAGUACUAUCAGCCUCAGACUUGGUUCUAUCAAUCUGAACAUCAGUACUAUCCACCUGUGGAUUAUGCAAGUUUCAGGUACGAGGUUGCACAAGGACAAGUUGAUGAGUCAUAUCCAGCAUAUCAAAGCCCACAGGGAGUUCAAAAUGAUUAUAUAGCUAUGCGGAAAAAGAUUCGUGGUAUUCAACAAUUCGAGGAGGAGACAUUGCAUGAAUAUUGGAAAAGAUUCAAGGAACUUUGCUCCAGUUGUCCUCAACAUCAAAUCAGUGAUCAGUUGCUUGUCCUACAUUUUUAUGAUGGGCUUUCACCGUUUGAUUUGUACAUGGUGGAUAAAGCUAGUGGGGGGCCCUUGAUUGACAAAACACCUGAUGAAGCUAUGAAACUUUUGGAAACCAUGGCAGCCAACCCUCAGCAAUUUAGAAAUGGACAACCAGUUACCAUAAGAGUUGAUGAGAUUAUUCCUACGGAUGUAGAGGUGCCUGAGCAGAGGAAUUGUAGUGUUUUUGACAGACCUGAUCUUGAUUUUAUUACUUCACAGGACUCCUCUAAUAUUUCUUGUUAUGAUUCUGUAGUUGUAACAAUUUCUAGCUCUACUGAUAUUGUUGUUGCAGAUGUCGUUGAUGAUGCAGGUACUGAUGUGGAUGAUGAUGUAUGUGUAGGGGAUUGCACAAUGGAAGCAAUACCCCAAGAAUCACCUGAACCAGAUGUUGAUGAUGAGAGUGUAGGGACUUAUGCUGUGGAAGCAGAGCCCCAAGAAUCACUUCCCUUAGAUACACCACCUAAACCAGAGUCUGAGCUAUUAUCUGAUGAUGAGGAGGUCACAGUUACCAUUUUAGAACCUCCAGGUACCUUCCAACAUGACAGGGUUAGUAUUUCUUGUAAUUCAUUAGAAGAUUUUAUAAAGGUACCAUUAAUUGACUUUGUUGGAUGUGAUGCAUUUCUUGACACAUGCUUUAAAGGGACUAAUAUUGUUACAUCUUUUUCUUACCUUAUAUGCUUGCGAGGGAUGUCUACCUUCCAUCUUUAUAGGCUACCGGAGUGGAUGCUUAAAUUGAACCGUCUUCAACCGCCGGGACAAAUUUUCAAGGAGCAUAUGGUGGGAGGAGAGGUUUUGACCUCAAUACACAAUAUUCCACUUCCAAAGUGGAUUUUACACCUUAACCGACUCCAACCACCAGGAAAGACCAUUCCAAUACCGGCAUGGAUCCUACUUCUAAAUCGUUUUCAACCGCCGGGAAUAAAGGGGAGUUCGUUCCUUACUUCUCUUUUUGCUUUAUAUUUUUCAUUGGUUUCAUACUUUACAGUUGCAUUUUGCUUCUAUAUUUUGCAUUUCUUUUUAGUACAUAGCAUUUUAUUUUGAAUAAAAUUCUCCAUGAAAUUGUUCUAGUAAUACUUUUAAGAUGGUAAAAGUUUUUUAAGUUUGACCAUCAAUUUUUAGGUCAAUGGACAUGAUUGAAUACUUUACUUACAUGAUAUUGGUUAGUGUGGUGGUGGAUUCCAACUUGCUUAAUUGAGUAGAUUGCAAUAAAAUACCUAGAGAGGACCACUUUAAGCCUACACUCUAUUAUUUUCUUUGUGUGACAUGCACUCAUAGCAAUUGAACUCUAGAACUUGCUUUGCUUCUUUUUAAAGUCACAAUAGCAUAUGUAUCCAUGAAAAGAAAGGAUAUUUGUCAUUUUUAUUCCAUCAUAUUUUCCAUUUCUUUCUCCAUAAUUUUCUUGAAACAUCAUCCUCUAGCAUUUUAACCUUUGAUCAUCUUUGCUUGAUAUGUUUCUGUUGAGAAUGUUGGUUGAAUUCUUGAUGAGUUAGAUUGUGCAAGAUGACCAAGUUUUAAGCGUGGGGGAGAUGUAUAGAGCUUUUGAAUGUUUGGAUCUAUUUGUUAAUGUUGAGAUUCAACUUUAAGCCAAAGAUGAAGUCUUUGGGAAGAUAUAAUGGAGUUAAGUGCUUAAGGGUUUUCUGGAAGCAAGGGCAGCACUUGAAACUUUAAACAGUGAGGUGAUGAUGUUGGAAACAGAAUUCAGUUUGCAUGUGUAUCAAGUUGUGAAAUUCUUUCAUUAUUAGUCUUCUAAACCUUUGGGAAUGAAUGGUGACAAAUUGAUACAAAGUCCACAAGUGGAGAAUGAAAAUGCUGAGAUCUCCUCCUCAUUACUGAAAUCUGAACUUGACAACCAUUCUGAUUUCCAUAUUUUGGAAGUUGGGCUUUGCUGAUAAUACCAAUACUGAAUUUUGUCAAUAGAGCUAGUAGACUAUAAUUUGUUGUUGAUUGUUUAUGCAUUUUUGAGUAGCUUGAUAUGGAAAUGGCAAGAUUUGCAUGCUACAUUUUGCUGAGUUAUGAACCUUGAAGUUCUACUGUGAGCUUAUAUGAAGGUCAGUGCUAACUAAAAACUUUCCAAGUUGAUAUUGUGAUUUCUGCACAUUAUGGAUAUGCAAGUUGCUGAAUUUCUGAUUUUCAAAUUGCUGUAAUAUCUGAGCUUUUGCUGGAAUUGAAGGUCUAGCAUUAGUUCUGAUUUUGUACUGAUAAUGCAGAAGUUGCACUUCAGAAUCUGUAUGACACAGCAAGGAUUGAUUUUCUGAAACUUUUAUGUUUCAUUGAAAUGCUGUUUAUUCAGAUCAGGUUCUGGAAUUUUUGGUUUAAUAACUUAGUUGGAUUUGACAGCUAUUGCAUUAAGGAAAUCUGUUUGCCAAAGACUUACUCGGAUUUCUGUUAUUCUAAUCGAAAUGCUCAGCAAGUCACCUGGAAUUGAAAGAAUAUACUGGAAACUGCAGUGCAGAAAUCAAAAGUUGUUAAUAUGGAUCCUUGAGACUAUUCCUUCAUGAUAUUUAGCUGAAUCUGAUGUUUUAUUGUGCAUCUAAAUUGGUGAUAUUACAGAACUUAGAGAUGAAGCAAUAAAAAAAUCAGAAACAGAGAAGGAACAGGUUGAGAAUUUUCUACAAACAGAGGUAAGAAAACUGAAGGAAUAAAGCUGUAUGUAGACUAAUUUCAACUAAUUUUCAAAAUUGUUGCAUUGCAAAUGAUGUUCUCUCUUAAGUAUACUAUUUGUUGAUGCCAAAACAAGAACUUAAGCAGAGCAGUGCAGAGCUAUCAGCAAGUCUGCAAUGAGUAGGAGCAGUAAGUCCUCAAGGUCUUGUUUAUUGCCAAGCUUACUUGCUGAUUUUGGUGUGGCACAGUAGCUUUGUUAUGCUAAUCAUUUUGAUCAGUAUGCUCAAUUCUAAAUGCUGAUUAUGACUAGUAGUGAACAAAUUGAGGAGCUGAGUUUUUAAACAGGAAUGCAAUGGUGUCUUAGCUAAUAUUUAUAAUCUAUUUUCUGAUUAGAAGCAAGGUUAAUUCAAUCCUGACUAAGUGAAGUGCUUCUGCUGUUAGUUCUCAACUUAAGACUUCAAAGUCAGGAACUCAAAGAAAUCCUAGCUGGAUUCAUGAAAUCUUAAGUUGCAAUUUGGAAAUAAUUUGGAAAUGGAUUCUGUGAUGAUCUUUUGUAGAGUUAUGGAAGUGUUCUGAUCUUGUUUUUACAAGACAUUGCUGGACUCUGCCAGAAGCUAAAUCUGUGCUGGAUAUAAAGUUGAUGUUUUACAAUUGUUUUAAAAUGCUACUUAUGGAAAUAAUUUUGAGAAAGCUUCCAACAGAAUUGAAAUAAUUUUGUAAACGGGACAGCUGGUUCAGUUGUUGCUGCUGGAUUACAUUUGAUUUGUUGAAGCUUUGGUAGAUCAUGAGAAUUCCAGACUUGAGCACCAUAAUCUGAUACUGAAUUAUGGAAUUAGUGUGGCUGCUGAGAUAUUGAAUGAAUGACAGCUCUUGACAAUAUGACAAAUUUCUAUUGAAGCUCAAUUUCUGCAUAAUUCAAAGCCUACAAUUUCCUAGCUGUGAUUCUGAAAAUGUUGUACUCUGGAUUUAUGGAAAUUUGAUGUUGGAACCCUGUUUAUUGCUGCAUCUGAUUGCUGAAUUGUAGCAGGUUACAGGAUUCCAAAUUUAUUUACAGAUUAUAGCAGAAAACAUUUCUUUGUAAUGUGCCACGUGAUACCUUAGUUCCAUAUAGGAAAUUGAUAGCUGCAAAGUUAUGAGAAGGAAUUGGAUGUUAGCUGUCUUCCUUGAUUUGAAUUGUUGAAUUGUUGGAAGUGUGCAGUCCUUUGCAGUAUAAAUAUUCAACAGAAUGAUUAUCAUUGUUGUGGAAGCAAUGAGGAAUUGAAUCCGGAUUCCAUUUACUGAAAUAGCAGCACUUUACCAAUUGUUGAUCUGAAACAGAGAACAAAUUCUGCAGCUAAAAAGGAGUUAAACAGUGGUUAAAAGGUGUUAAGUAAUUGGAUGGCAUGAGUGUUUAAUUGUCCGAGAUGGCCAAGUUUAAGUGUGGGGAGGGGAUUCUUAUUGAUUAAUUAUUGUGAGAUUGUUUUUAGUUUCAAGUGAUGGAACAAGUGAAAAAAAAACAGUGAAAGAAAGAAGAAAAAAAAUUGAGAAAUGGCACAUCAAGAAUGUAUCAAAGGUGAAGAUAGAGUAUCAAGAAUUUUGGUUUUCCAUCAAAUUGAAGAGGAGGUUAGCUUGAUACUCUGAUGUGGUAAUGACAAAUGGCAUCAAGGGAAUGGAUCCGAGGUUGACCAAACCAGAUUGAACACGAAUCCAAGCUUAAAUGAAGAGAUCAAGCUCUGGAGUAAUCUGGAUCGUCCAUUCAAGAUUAAGAGAGAUCUAAGCCAUCCAUUGAAGAUUUGGUCCAUCCGAGCUAGGAGAGAGUAGAUCAGGUCCCUUGAUGAAGAUUUGAACCUUUGGAUCAAGUUUAGAUCAAGAUUCACCGUUGGAUCAGAGGCAGAAUAAUCACAGCCGUCCAUCACAGAACUGAGAUUAGAUUUAAAGGGAUGAGAAGCUACAGUGUUGGCGUCAACUUCUACAGUGUGAGCGUGAAGAGCAAUCGCGAGGGGUGAGUCUCCGACGAUCUUCUUCGACCCAUUCCACCACCGGCGAGCUUGUGAGGUCAAGGGCAUCCCUUCCUCCGGUCAUCAUCUACUCGUCAUCAGCCGGCGAUGCCACUUCAACCACCUGAUCCAGAUUUGAUUUCCGUUUCCCCGCGAUUCUGAGAAGAAGAAGAAACUGGGAAAGAGAGUAAUCUGGAGGUUCGAUUCCGAUUUCUUCUCUUACCAGCCGGCGAUUGUUUACCUUCAAGAUCUGAAUGCUCUAAUCGGUUAGAAGUGUUUGCUUCUACUUCCAUUGGUUUCUCCAUUGCUGUGUAUGAUCUUUGUAUUUCUUGUUCUUGCUGUGACACUGAAUCGAUCGUCUGAAUUGAUCGGUUCUUCACUGAUUUGUGAGUGCUUGGGGGUUCCUCCAACUCACUUUGGUUCAUCACUUUCCCCAAUCUCCAUUACUGAGUUGUGUUUUGCUCUAUUUCUAGUUCAAGUUUAUGAUUUGUGCCGUUUAA